AUGGAGGAUGAUCCUAGACAGAAGUUUAAAGAGAAAGCUAUCGAUGAAUUAUCAAGGCUUGGAUUCACUGGGACUGAAAUCGUGAAUGCUGCCAGCAUAUUUGCCAAAGCUCCAGAAGAAAUGCAUAUGAUGCUUGCACUCCCGCAGAAUCUGAGGAGGGAGUAUGUUAAGAAAACGCUUGGUAAGUUAAAUUCAUGCACUAUUAUCUUGUUCUGA
rnacentral:rRNA from 1 species